UUUUUAGCUAUUCCUUUGAACUCCUAGUUCUAAAGUCCUACCCAGGGACAUUGUAUGUAAGAAAUUAAUUUGAUGAUAUUUCACGAGGAUAAGUAUUUGGAUUGGUUGAAGGUUCUGAAAUCGCAUUAUAUCGGUUUUUGUUAGUAUAAAAUUAAUGCUUGUAGAUGAUUAUUGUACUAACAAUAGCUUAGAUGAAGAAAUCAAGCUGAAGUUUGAGAGUUGAUCCACCAAAUUGAAUAUCAACAGUUGGUAUGGGCACAACAGGAAAUAAUUCAAAUUACGGAUAAACUCGUUUCCUUGAACCUACAAAUUAUUGGAAAAAUUUAUUCCAACACAAAUAGCAAACAUGACUAUUUUUUUUAAAGUGAUAUGCUAGAUAUUGGUUUUGUGAAUGUUGAAGAAUGAUUUCACAUUUAACAGGAGUAUGCUAAAGACGUCCCUCAAAAGAACACUUUUAUGAUUUCUCUAUAUUCCUUUUUGUUUCAAUUUUGAUCUUUCCAUGACUGAUAUUGGAUGUUCUGUAGCAGUCAUUUAUGGCUCAAUAUUUGUUUUGUGAAUGUUGAAGAAUGAUUUCACAUUUAACAGGAGUAUGCUAAAGACGUCCCUCAAAAGAACACUUUAAUGAUUUCUCUAUCUUCCUCUAUGUUUCAAUUUUGAUCUUUCCAUGACUGGAGUAUUGGAUGUUCUCUAACAGUCAUUUAUGGCUCAACUUUUGCCAACACAGCAUAAGGUUCAGUAGAGUGGUUUAUUCCUAGUUCAUUCUUCUUGAUCAAAAGAGGUUGUCGGGUGGUGUUUUAUUUGUUGUUAUGUGAUCAUUACCACAUUUUGACUCUUUUAACUACAGAAUAAUAAUGCUUUUAUUUCCUUACAUCUCUUUUGAAUGAUGAUUCUUUACUUAAGUUACAUAUUUCAACAUGUCUAGUAAAAAAUGUUGUCCAGUUAUUACAUCUUUGUAGUCUUUUUACUUUGAUUGAGUGACUGAGAGUCUUACUUGGGUAAUAUUAGAUAAGCCACUCAUACAUACUGCUUUAGAUAUAUUUUCCUUGUUCUCGAAAUAGAAUUUUUUGAAGUGUAUCUGGGAACUAUUUUUCUUUUGUAUCUUUUAGGUUGAGUGUAUAUUUUACCUUUCACAACAGUAAUGAGCAUCUUCCUAUGGCAGUACACCUGGAAAUCCGCAUAAUUCAAAAAGGUACACAUGUGGUUCUUCCUCCGGUUCAGUUGUAAUUGUCAAUUCUGGAUUGUGCUCAGCAGCAUUGCGAACAAAUGGUGGAGGUUCAGUAGGAAUUCCUGCUUCUCUUUGCGGGGUUGUGGGCUUGAAAACAACAUUUGGACGGACAGAUAUGAUAGGGUUAGUUCAUGAAUGGCAGGUCACUGUGGGAAGCAGGAACUGUCCCAAUUAUCGGACCCAUCACAGCUACAGUUGAGGAUGCCAUACUUGUGUAUGCAGCAAUCUCGGGACAUCUCCAGCUGAUCGAAUUCGGCUGAAUCCUGUAAUCACUCCCUAACUGUACUUUCGCAAAAUUUCAAGAUAUUGUUCUGUUUGAGGGUUCAGUUUAACCUUUUUUCCCUUCAUUAGUGUAAAUACUUUAGUUAAUAUUAGUAAAUAGAGUACCAGAUCAGUUUUCUUACAAUUGCUUUACAGGCUUUCAUUUUGAUGUUUGAUUUCACGUGUUCUGACAUUGACAUGGUGUGCUAUCUUAACCCCAACUGCAUCUUACCUAAUUUUUAUGUCCUUGGUUUGCUCACACAUGGAUUCUUGC